UACAGAGGUCCCAAGCGUUGUUCGGAUUCACUGGGCGUAAAGGGUGCGUGGGCGGUCGGGUAAGUCUGACGUGAAAUCUUCAAGCUUAACUUGGAAACUGCGUCGGAUACUAUUCGGCUAGAGGAAUGGAGGGGAGACUGGAAUACUUGGUGUAGCAGUGAAAUGCGUAGAUAUCAAGUGGAACACCAGUGGCGAAGGCGAGUCUCUGGACAUUUCCUGACGCUGAGGCACGAAAGCCAGGGGAGCAAACGGG
rnacentral:rRNA from 1 species